rnacentral:rRNA from 1 species
UACGUAGGGGGCAAGCGUUGUCCGGAUUUAUUGGGCGUAAAGAGCGUGUAGGCGGCCAGACAGGUCCGUUGUGAAAACUCGAGGCUCAACCUCGAGAUGUCGAUGGAAACCGUCUGGCUAGAGUCCGGAAGAGGAGAGUGGAAUUCCUGGUGUAGCGGUGAAAUGCGCAGAUAUCAGGAAGAAUAUCCGUGGCGAAGGCGGCUCUCUGGGACGGUACUGACGCUGAGACGCGAAAGCGUGGGGAGCGAACAGG